GACCUGUAUUUUGAACUGUCACCGGAUGGUGGCGUGUCAGGCACAACCUGUCUAGAAACGUGGUCGGAA
rnacentral:sRNA from 12 species